rnacentral:lncRNA from 1 species
AUACUUCACUGCCUCCAUCUGGGACCUCUCUUCCAUUUCCAGUUUGAUCUCUAAUCCCUGAUUUUCCAAUUCUGCCUUCCGUUCUGCCAGCCACUCACACUCAGAUAGCAGUCAAACUUAACUCUCCCUGAAGGUUGUGUAAUAAAAUUUCUUCAAGGAGUACUUACAUUUAACAGGAACCUAAGAGACCCUUCAAGACACUAAUUUCCUGUGAGUUUGUCAGAGGGAUUUGUCAAGCGCCACUCACAUCACAAAAUUUAUGAAGACAAACCCUGGAACAGAAUUAUUUCACACCUAUGAAUCAGGUGAAAAGAAGGGACUGAUAGCUCUUUCUUCCUUCUUCUCAAGUUAAAUGUAUAUGUUUGUAGCCUGACGGAAAUGAAAGCCCGUGAGAUUUGGAGAUGGAGGCCAAGCUCUGCCUUUCACUAAGCUGGGCGACCAUUUUUGCUUUUAUUUUCUUGUAUAAAAUAAUGUUGCAUUAUUGCCUACUUUGCACAGUUGUUGUGAAUGCCAAGAAUAAUCCCAAGUCGAACAUGGUGGAAGUGUACAUGUUUCCUUUUCCUUUUCAAUUAAUGUCCUUGUUUGACCUAUCCAGAAGUACAUCCUUUAGGUGGCAUUUAAUGGAAUCUUUGUGUAUCUGAUAGGAAGAAGUGUCAGUACCUCAGCAACACUAGUCCUGAGUGAUAUUUAUUGACAGGUACUGUGAGCUAGAAAUGAAUGGUAUGAAGUGUUUUACAUAUAUCAUUUAGUCUGCUGUACACCCUGUAAUGACUGUCUGCUAGAGAAGGAAGCAAGUCUAGAGUGUUAAAUAAUUUGCUCUCUGUCACUCAGCCAAGAACUGGAUCUUGAACUCAGAUUGUCUUACUCCAAAGCCCAGAACUUGUUAAUCCUAGAGCCGUAGUAGUGGAGAGUUAGAAAAAGAGCAUUUCUGAAUAUUUUCAGGAUUUUAUGAUAAUGAAAUGAAAUAUCAUCUCUUUCUCUCAUGAUCUUAGGGAAGACUUAAAGGUAGCUAUUUGUUGGAAGAUCUGCAUCAUAUUACCUAUCCACAAACAUGAAAAACAUUGUCCACAACUGAUGUUUGAAAUUUCACUUGAGAUUAAUUGGCUGAUGUUUCCUAAUGUAAAUUAAUAUUAGAGGAAAUUGUUAGGGCUUUGAAUUUAUCUUAAACAUACAAAUUCAGUUAUUUUGAUUUCAAGAAUUAUUUUCCCCUUUUCAUGUUCACUAAAAAUAAUCUUAGUUGUGGGAAAGAGAUUUAGAAAAAAAAAUGAGAGUGACUAAAUCCCUUUUUAAUACUCUGCAGAAUUUACAGCAUAUGAUAAAACUGUUUUUCUUUUCUGAACAGAAAAAGUGUGGCUAAUGUAGAAGCCUCUUACCAUUUGAUUUGCUCAAAUGCCUUCUGU